rnacentral:rRNA from 1 species
GGGGAAUUUUCCGCAAUGGGCGCAAGCCUGACAGUGCGACGCCGCGUGAAGGAAGAAGGCCACUUUCGGUCGUAAACUUCUUUGCACGGGCACAGGAAGACUGACCGCCCGGGAAGCAAGUAUCGGCUAACUCCGUGCCAGCAGCCGCGGUAAGACGGGGGAUGCAAGCGUUAUCCGGAUUUAUUGGGCGUAAAGCGUCUGUAGGUGGUUUGGUGUGUCUGCUGUCCAAACGCAGGGCUUAACUCUGUGGGGCAUGUGGAGACUAUCAGACUGGAGGCCGGUAGAGGUGGGGGGAAUCCCUCGAGGAGCAGUGAAAUGCUUAGAUACGUGGGAGAAGGCCGGAGGCGAAAGCUCCCCACUGGGCCGCGCCUGACACUGAGAGACGAAAGCUAGGGGAGCGAAAGGGAUUAGAUACCCCUGUAGUC